ACUUUGCAGCAGUUUCCUCACCUGCACGGUGGUUUUAUGGGCCGAAUGCUCACUAAACUGACUUAUUCUUCCCGGUAACCUGCAUACAGACCUCCCAGGCCCUGGCGUGAAGGUGGCACUGUGACUAGCUCUUGCCGAUGGAAUGGGAGGAGUCAGUUAGAAAUUUUCAUAUGGUCAAAAUACCCAUGGAAUAUAUGAGUGGCAGCAGUAAACAAUCCUUGAAGUUCUUGCUUGUUUAACUUGACUGUUGGUGAUGCCCAAUGAGGCCCUGUCUGCUCCAAGCAAAUUACAUAAAAAAGAUGUGAAUAAAAACUCAUCAAAUACUAACAGAGACUGUGUCUAAGAUGCCAAUUGAAGACUGGAACAGCCAUAUGAGUGUGGGGUAUUCCUGGAAACCUGUUCUAGUAGGCACUGGAGAAGACACAGGAACCUCUCAAUACAGAAUAGACACACUUUGCACUCAGUAAUAAUGCACUAAUUGACGAAUAUAUUGACGGAGUGUUGGUUUGCUUCACAAUCUGCUGGUAAACAUAUUCAUUUUUGGGUGAAUUUCAGGCCUUA
rnacentral:lncRNA from 1 species